AUUGAACGCUGGCGGCAGGCCUAACACAUGCAAGUCGAACGGUAACAGGAAGCAGCUUGCUGCUUUGCUGACGAGUGGCGGGCGGGUGAGUAAUGUCUGGGAAACUGCCUGAUGGAGGGGGAUAACUACUGGAAACGGUAGCUAAUACCGCAUAAUGUCGCAAGACCAAAGAGGGGGACCUUCGGGCCUCUUGCCAUCGGAUGUGCCCAGAUGGGAUUAGCUAGUAGGUGGGGUAAAGGCUCACCUAGGCGACGAUCCCUAGCUGGUCUGAGAGGAUGACCAGCCACACUGGAACUGAGACACGGUCCAGACUCCUACGGGAGGCAGCAGUGGGGAAUAUUGCACAAUGGGCGCAAGCCUGAUGCAGCCAUGCCGCGUGUAUGAAGAAGGCCUUCGGGUUGUAAAGUACUUUCAGCGGGGAGGAAGGGAGUAAAGUUAAUACCUUUGCUCAUUGACGUUACCCGCAGAAGAAGCACCGGCUAACUCCGUG
rnacentral:rRNA from 1 species